rnacentral:rRNA from 1 species
GACGAACCGUGCGAACGUUAUUCGGAAUCACUGGGCUUAAAGCGCGUGUAGGCGGAUCGGCACGUCCGUGGCUGAAAGCCCCCGGCUCAACCGGGGAAGGGGCGCGGAUACGGCCGAUCUGGAGGGGGGUAGGGGGACCUGGAACUUCCGGUGGAGCGGUGAAAUGCGUUGAGAUCGGAAGGAACGCCCGUGGCGAAAGCGAGGUCCUGGACCCUUUCUGACGCUGAGACGCGAAAGCCAGGGGAGCGAACGGG